rnacentral:rRNA from 1 species
CGCGGCCUAUCAGCUUGUUGGUGGGGUAAUGGCCUACCAAGGCGACGACGGGUAGCCGGCCUGAGAGGGCGACCGGCCACACUGGGACUGAGACACGGCCCAGACUCCUACGGGAGGCAGCAGUGGGGAAUAUUGCGCAAUGGGCGGAAGCCUGACGCAGCGACGCCGCGUGAGGGAUGAAGGCCUUCGGGUCGUAAACCCCUUUCAGCAGGGAAGAAGCGUGAGUGACGGUACCUGCAGAAGAAGCACCGGCUAACUACGUGCCAGCAGCCGCGGUAAUACGUAGGGUGCAAGCGUUGUCCGGAAUUAUUGGGCGUAAAGAGCUCGUAGGCGGUCUGUCGCGUCUGCUGUGAAAACUCAGGGCUUAACCCUGAGCUUGCAGUGGGUACGGGCAGACUAGAGUGCGGUAGGGGAGACUGGAAUUCCUGGUGUAGCGGUGAAAUGCGCAGAUAUCAGGAGGAACACCGGUGGCGAAGGCGGGUCUCUGGGCCGUAACUGACGCUGAGGAGCGAAAGCAUGGGGAGCGAACAGGAUUAGAUACCCUGGUAGUCCAUGCCGUAAACGUUGGGCGCUAGGUGUGGGGACCUUUCCAUGGUUUCCGUGCCGCAGCUAACGCAUUAAGCGCCCCGC